rnacentral:rRNA from 1 species
AUUGAACGCUGGCGGCAGGCCUAACACAUGCAAGUCGAACGAGUGGCGGACGGGUGAGUAAUGUCUGGGAAACUGCCCGAUGGAGGGGGAUAACUACUGGAAACGGUAGCUAAUACCGCAUACUAUCAGAUGAGCCUAGAUGGGAUUAGCUAGUUGGUGGGGUAACGGCUCACCUAGGCGACGAUCCCUAGCUGGUCUGAGAGGAUGACCAGCCACACUGGAACUGAGACACGGUCCAGACUCCUACGGGAGGCAGCAGUGGGGAAUAUUGCACAAUGGGCGCAAGCCUGAUCCAGCCAUACCGCGUGGGUGAAGAAGGCCUUCGGGUUGUAAAGUCCUUUUGUUGGGAAGGCGGUACCCAAAGAAUAAGCACCGGCUAACUUCGUGCCAGCAGCCGCGGUAAUUC